rnacentral:lncRNA from 1 species
GAGGUUUUCCAGCCUUUACGGCAGCUAGGGGUCCGCAUGUCUUUCCUGAUAGACGACCAGAUGGGUGCCGUGGGGUCGAAGGCCGCGGCACAGUACGAGUGUGGGGCGGUGGUACGGCUGCUGGCGGCCCUAGGCUUCACCCUCAGCCUGUCCAAGUGCCAGCUGAUCCCAAGAAGGCGAGUCUGUUUCUUGGGGAUGGAGGUGGAUGCGGAGGCGCAAGCAUUCAGAGUACCAGACGACAAGCUAGCUAGAUUCCGUACGCUGCUCACACAGCUCGAAGGCAAACGGCUAACAGCGCGGCAGGUGGCGCAGGUGGCCGGCAAAAUCAUCGCCAUGACGCCCGCCGUCACCACGGCACCCCUGUAUGCGUGGAUGGUGUGGUGUGUAGCCCGGGGCGUGGCGUGGGACGAAGAGGUUUGGGACCCGGCGGAGGUGCUACACCAGGCAGGCUUGUUUAUGGAGCUGCUGGGCAGGCGCAACGGGACAGCCACCUGGCGGAAAGGACCAGCCCUACGACUGACGACAGAACUAGUCGGGGACGCCUCAGACAGGGCCUUCGCAGCCUUCUUACCUGGAGAAGAACUGGGCGCCAACAGCCGCAUGCUUGUGCCCUUCAAAGCUCAGGAAACCCAGCGGCUGCAGCGGAAUGACUUUAGCAGCACAGAAAGAGAACUGCGGGCGCUGCUGUACAGCUUGCACUGGUUGUGAGAGCAGGCACCGAACCUGUUGUACGGCCGGACAGUGCAAUACCAGACGGACAGCCAACCGGCGGAAUUCUGCAUGGUUGAGAUGAAAGGCAACGCCGCUUGCCUGCCCAUAGUGGCGGAGAUCCAUCACCUCUGCGCGGAUACGGACACAGACAUUUCAGUGGUGUGGUACCCACGCAGCCGGGAACAGCAGCAGCAGGCAGACGCACUCAGCAAAUAUGAAGAUGGAUCACAGUGGCGAAGUAUAAGCACUGGAUGGGGCUGCCCUUU